rnacentral:lncRNA from 1 species
UUUUUAUAACUCGUUUUUUUAAUUCAUUUUUAAAUUUCAACCACACAUUCUCCAAAUAAAUCACUUUUCACGAGAUCUAAUCAAACAAAAUUUACAUCAAACAUGUGUAAAAAUACAUUAGGAAAAAAAGGAAAAAAUAAAACUUUCAAUAACAAGAUUUGGAGAGAAUCAAGUUACUAAUAGAUAGUUGACGAUACAUGACACUUUAUUGAGAAGCACUUGUGAGAGUGCUUACAAAUCAAUUAUCAAAAGGGUAUUGCUCAUACCUAACACUACAAUCAUACAGCUGUGCUCGAGCUCCGAUCCGCCCAUCACAAGACCCCAACAUGGCAGUUUUGGCUGCGCCAAGGCAGACCUUGCAGUCUGAUCUAGUCAAAUAUGUGCUACAUGUAGCAUGCCCAUAGGCAAAUGCAUUUGGAUAAGGCGAAAUAUUGUAGAAAUCAUAGCCUUCACGGGUGGGCGUGGUAGACUCCAAUUCAGCAAGAAUAUAGGCUAGACUAAUAGUAAAUGGAUCGCCUUUCGAGUAUGAAUUACUGUUGCACUGCACCAAUUUGACUCGAGUGUUUGGUGCACUCGAUACCACGAAACAAAAAGUGAGCAAUAAAAUUGACAAUUUAAGUAGGUUUUGGGUGAUCAUCGUCUUUGGUGGAAGAAGAAGAUCCAUUUGCAGACUUCUUUUUUUCAAGAAAAUGGGGUUUCAAUUAUUGUGGGACUAAGCGUGCUAGUGCAUAUAUAGGAUUCUUCGCCAAUUAUGAGAAUUUCAUUUGUUUGUUCUUGUUUCAUAUGUUUUGUCAUUGUUAUAGGAAAUGAAUAUGAUACAAGAAGUGGAUAAAAUAAUUGUAGAAAAUUUAGAGUGUGAUUGGCUAAG